rnacentral:rRNA from 1 species
AUUGAACGCUGGCGGCAGGCCUAACACAUGCAAGUCGAACGAGUGGCGGACGGGUGAGUAAUGUCUGGGAAACUGCCUGAUGGAGGGGGAUAACUACUGGAAACGGUAGCUAAUACCGCAUACCAUCAGAUGUGCCCAGAUGGGCUUAGCUAGUGGGUGGGGUAACGGCUCACCAAGGCGACGAUCCCUAGCUGGUCUGAGAGGAUGACCGGCCACACAGGAACGGAGACACGGUCCAGACUCCGACGGGAGGCAGCAGUGGGGAAUAUUGCACAAUGGGCGCAAGCCGGAGACAGCAAUGCCGCGUGUAUGAAGAAGGCAAUCGGGUGGUAAAGUACUUUCAGCGGGGAGGCGUUACCCGAAGAAGAAGCACCGGCUAACUCCAUGCCAGCAGCCGCGGUAAUAC